rnacentral:rRNA from 1 species
GUGGGGAAUAUUGGACAAUGGGCGCAAGCCUGAUCCAGCCAUGCCGCAUGAGUGAAGAAGGCCCUAGGGUUGUAAAGCCCUUUUGUACGGGAAGAAAUCCUGUCGGUUAAUACCCGGCGGGGAUGACGGUACCGUAAGAAUAAGCACCGGCUAACUUCGUGCCAGCAGCCGCGGUAAUACGAAGGGUGCAAGCGUUAAUCGGAAUUACUGGGCGUAAAGCGUGCGUAGGCGGUUCGUUAAGUCCGUUGUGAAAGCCCUGGGCUCAACCUGGGAAUGGCAGUGGAUACUGGCGGACUAGAGUCAGGUAGAGGGUGGCGGAAUUCCCGGUGUAGCGGUGAAAUGCGUAGAGAUCGGGAGGAACAUCCGUGGCGAAGGCGGCCACCUGGACCAUGACUGACGCUGAGGCACGAAAGCUAGGGUAGCAA